rnacentral:rRNA from 1 species
AGAGUUUGAUCCUGGCUCAGAUUGAACGCUGGCGGUAGGCUUAACACAUGCAAGUCGAACGGUAACAGCUCUAGCUUGCUAGAGGCUGACGAGUGGCGGACGGGUGAGUAACGCGUAGGAAUCUACCCAAUAGUGGGGGACAACCUGGUGAAAACCAGGCUAAUACCGCAUACGCCCUACGGGGGAAAGCAGGGGAUCUUCGGACCUUGCGCUAUUGGAUGAGCCUGCGUUAGAUUAGCUUGUUGGUGAGGUAAUGGCUCACCAAGGCGACGAUCUAUAGCUGGUCUGAGAGGAUGAUCAGCCACACUGGGACUGAGACACGGCCCAGACUCCUACGGGAGGCAGCAGUGGGGAAUAUUGCGCAAUGGGCGAAAGCCUGACGCAGCCAUACCGCGUGUGUGAAGAAGGCUCUAGGGUCGUAAAGCACUUUAAGCAGGGAGGAAGGCCUAAAGAUUAAUACUCUUUAGGAUUGACGUUACCUGCAGAAUAAGCACC